rnacentral:rRNA from 1 species
GUUCGGAUGACCUGGGUAUAGGGGCGAAAGACCAAUCUAGGCCGGCAAUAGCUGGUUCCUCUCGAAACUGCUCGAAGGCAGACCUCCGUGGAGACGGGGCGUGCGGUAGAGCACUGAUUGCGUGUUUAGGGAGCGAGAGUUCUCGGCAUGCUGUCAAACUCCGAAUGUGCGUCCGUCGCAGAAGCGGGGCAGUGAGGGCACUGGGGUAAGCUUAGUGUCCGCGAGGAGAACAAUCCAGACCGAAGUUAAGGUCCCAAAGUAACCGCUAAGUGUUAAAGAACAAAUGGUGUCUGGCGGCAGAGACAGCUGGGAGGUUGGCUUAGAGGCAGCCAUCCUUUAAAGAGUUCGUAACAGAUCACCAGUCGAGUUUCUGGGCCCAGAAAAUGGACGGGACUAAGCGGUUCACCGAUACUUCGGGCCACCGAAAGGUGAUGCGGUAGAGAGGCGUCGUGCGUGGAUGGAAGCAGGGGCGUGAGCUCCUGUGGACCGCGUUCGAAUGAUAAUCAUGGGAAGAGUAGUAGCGUAGACGGGUGAGAAUCCCGUCCGCCGUAGGG